rnacentral:tRNA from 1 species
UGGGUUAUGGCUCAGUGGUAGAGUGCUUGCCUUGCAUGUGUGAGGCCCUGGGUUCAAACCUCAGCACCACAU